rnacentral:rRNA from 1 species
UACGAAGGGGGCUAGCGUUGCUCGGAAUCACUGGGCGUAAAGCGCACGUAGGCGGAUCUUUAAGUCAGGGGUGAAAUCCUGGAGCUCAACUCCAGAACUGCCUUUGAUACUGGCGAUCUUGAGUUCGGGAGAGGUGAGUGGAACUGCGAGUGUAGAGGUGAAAUUCGUAGAUAUUCGCAAGAACACCAGUGGCGAAGGCGGCUCACUGGCCCGAUACUGACGCUGAGGUGCGAAAGCGUGGGGAGCAAACAGG